GCGUCCGUAGCUCAGGUGGAUAGAGCAGUGGACUUCGAAUCCAAAGGUCGCAGGUUCGAAUCCUGCCGGGCGUG
rnacentral:tRNA from 1 species